GGCCUAACACAUGCAAGUCGGACGGGAUUUGGGAGCUUGCUCCUAAUGAGAGUGGCGCACGGGUGCGUAACACGUAUGUAACCUACCUUUGUCAGGGGGAUAGCCUCUCGAAAGAGAGAUUAAGACCGCAUAACAUUACAAUGUGGCAUCACAAAGUAAUCAAAUAUUUAUAGGACAAAGAUGGGCAUGCGGAACAUUAGCUAGUUGGUAAGGUAACGGCUUACCAAGGCUACGAUGUUUAGGGGAUCUGAGAGGAUGACCCCCCACACUGGUACUGAGACACGGACCAGACUCCUACGGGAGGCAGCAGUAAGGAAUAUUGGUCAAUGGGCGGAAGCCUGAACCAGCCAUGCCGCGUGCAGGAAGACGGCCCUAUGGGUUGUAAACUGCUUUUGUACGGGAAUAAACCUCGAUACGUGUAUCGAGCUGAAUGUACCGUAAGAAUAAGGAUCGGCUAACUCCGUGCCAGCAGCCGCGGUAAUACGGAGGAUCCAAGCGUUAUCCGGAUUUAUUGGGUUUAAGGGGUGCGUAGGUGGCCUAUUAAGUCAGGGGUGAAAGACGGUCGCUUAACGAUCGCAGUGCCCUUGAUACUGAUGGGCUUGAAUGGACUAGAGGUAGGCGGAAUGUGACAAGUAGCGGUGAAAUGCAUAGAUAUGUCACAGAACACCGAUUGCGAAGGCAGCUUACUAUGGUCCGAUUGACACUGAGGCACGAAAGCGUGGGGAUCAAACAGGAUUAGAUACCCUGGUAGUCCACGCCCUAAACGAUGAAUACUCGAUGUUGGCGAUAUACGGUCAGCGUCUAAGCGAAAGCGUUAAGUAU
rnacentral:rRNA from 1 species